AACUGCAAAGAAUUUCAAAACAAGACGGCAACUCUAACCCAACUUGCAAACUUUCCCAUAUUCUUUUCUGCUCCGGCAUUCUGUUCAUUGUCUUUCCGAUUUUUGAUGUAUCCAGUUUUUCAAUCCCCUUACGGAAUUUUUCAUCCUCUUCUCGAUUGAGUUGAACUAUUGUGAGGCACGCAUACCAAGCAGAUUAGUUGCUUGGGUAGUUAGAGUAUCUGUUAUUCAACAUGCACAUGGCAACACAUGACAUGGAUCCUGAUGUUGUUCGCUGGGGUCUACAUCAUCUUCUAGGUGUCUGUACACUUUCUAAUAAUGGUUCACCCAGUAUCAUAGCUCAAUAUGAUCCGGAUUCAGGUCAAGUUGAAUAUGUUAGAGAAGGCUUUUGUCAUUAUGAUAAUGUGGAGAAUGAUGAGGCAGUUGCUCGUGCUUAUCAAGAAGAGUUAUCACGAAUUGAUUCCAUGGAAGCUUCUGGGUCAUCAAAUUCUGAGAAUCAGCAUGUUCGGGCAUCAGUUCUUGCACAAGAUUGGUGUUCUGAUUCGAAUAGAUCUCAUGACUCUGUUACGAUAUCAUGUCCACCAUAUGUUGGAAGUGACACCUAUCAAAAAGCCAUCGAUGAACCAAACAAUAUGAAAGAAGUGGAGAAUUAUGGUCAAAGCGAAAAGGAAAAUGAUACAGUACAUGAAAUUGAUAUCUUUGGCUCGUCUUCUGGAUCUGAUGUACCUGUUUUUAAUGAGGAUUUGUGGCAUUCCUUGGAAAUAUCAGAUGAGUCUGUCCUUGAUAGUGAAGUUGGUAAAAGAUUGAAUCAGAUGGUUCCCAUUCCUCAUAUUCCUAAAAUCAAUGAAAAACUACCAUCUGAUGAUGAACAAAUAUCAGAUCACCAAAGGCUGUUAGAUAGGUUGCAGUUAUAUGAUCUGGUUGAGAAUAAGGUUGAAGGAGAUGGUAACUGCCAGUUUCGUGCUUUGUCAGACCAGCUUUAUCGCUCUUCAGAGCACCACAAAUUUGUACGAGAGCAAAUCAUUAAACAGCUAAAGUCUCACCCAGAACUAUAUUCGGGUUAUGUUCCUAUGGCUUAUAGUGAUUAUUUGAGGAAGAUGGACAGGAGUGGUGAAUGGGGUGAUCAUGUCACGUUGCAGGCUGCUGCAGACUGGAUUAGGAGGGAAGAAAAUGAUUCAAUGAUGGAGAGCAUUUGAGAAGCCAUAUUUGGAAGACACCAGUACUAAAGCUUUGGUGUGAUCCUUUUGCACUCCUUUCGAUCUUAAAGCCAAUUUUGAUCCUUGUUGCCUGAGAGAACUUGAGACUAACAAAGUUUUCUGCUACAACUGACAUCAUCAUUGACUCCGAAUGUGAUGUUUCUAGAUGACCUAAGAUUCAUGCCAUGUCCACACUCUUCAACUUGCUCAUAGAAGUUUGCUUCCCUAUUCUUUGGUUUUCAAAGUAAUGGAUAACUGGGAAGUCAUUGUAGUAAGCGGGUAUUCUGCUUUCCUACCAUUUUGUUUUGGAGGUGGGAGACCAGAAGCUGAAGGUUAAACUGUGCAAGUGGUGGGAGGAUCCACCUUAUAUGUAUGGGGUCAAAAUUUUUGUGAUUACCUCUUUUAAGGAUACAUGUUACAUUGAGAUUCUUCCACAGAUGCAAAGGUCUGAAAGAGUGAUAUUUCUCAGUUUUUGGGCAGAGGUUCAUUACAAUUCAAUCUAUCCUGAAG